UGAUAUUUAUUUAUUUCCCUGCUUGUUUCUCUGUUUUGUACGUGCUUUUAUUUCAGCCCAUCUAAUCUUUCUAUUUGCGGGAGCUGAAAGAAAGACUGCGUGCACGUUUGAGCACCUGUGAAGCGCAUGCUGCAAUGACACCAGAGAAAACUUUUACAAGUGUCGCAAUCUGUGAAAUCCCCACAGAGUCAGUUUUCCUUUGGACAUGGAGCAUUAGUCCUCAAACAAAGCACAGUUUCGCCUAAAGCACACCUACCACCUAGAAUGGAUAUGAAGAUAUUGGAGCUCUGAAGCUGUCAAGAAAGGCCAACAGGACAUGCCCUGGUCCCUUAUGAUAGUCACGAAGCAAGGCAGAAUGGUGGGAUGCUUCCCUCAUUUCACCAGAAAAGAGGAUACUUCAACUAGUAGCUGCUGGUGCACAGAGGAUAAGAGUGGUUAAUAUAUGAAGAUCUUUGCCAGGAGGAACAAGAAAAGGAAGUUAAAGGUGCCGUGUUCUUGAGGAGAUGGAUACUGAAAGAUGGAAGUGAAGGAGGAAAAGCAUGAAGUAGAGCCAGUCAUGAAAAAAACCCUCAAAAGACUCCUGCAGGUUGCAAGGUUGGAACAUUUUGGCAUUUGUCCUGUUGAUUUGUUUGUUCUCAUUAAAGUAAGUUUGGUUUGUUUUUUGUUUUGGGGAUUUUUUUU
rnacentral:lncRNA from 1 species